UACAGAGGUCUCAAGCGUUGUUCGGAUUCAUUGGGCGUAAAGGGUGCGUAGGCGGCGCGGUAAGUCGGGUGUGAAAUCUCGGGGCUUAACUCCGAAACUGCAUUCGAUACUGCCGUGCUUGAGGACUGGAGAGGAGACUGGAAUUUACGGUGUAGCGGUGAAAUGCGUAGAUAUCGUAAGGAAGACCAGUGGCGAAGGCGGGUCUCGUGGACAGUUCCUGACGCUGAGGCACGAAGGCCAGGGGAGCAAACGGG
rnacentral:rRNA from 1 species